rnacentral:rRNA from 1 species
UACGUAGGGUCCGAGCGUUGUCCGGAAUUAUUGGGCGUAAAGGGCUCGUAGGCGGUCUGUUGCGUCGGGAGUGAAAACUUACAGCUUAACUGUGAGCGUGCUUCCGAUACGGGCAGACUUGAGGUAUUCAGGGGAGAACGGAAUUCCUGGUGUAGCGGUGAAAUGCGCAGAUAUCAGGAGGAACACCGGUGGCGAAGGCAGGUCUCUGGGCUGACACUGACGCUCAUGCACGAAAGCGUGGGGAGCAAACAGG